CCUCCCUCUCUCACUCGCGCCGCUUUUUCUCUUGCGUACAUGGCCGAACAACCGCUACCAAGUUCACCGUCGAGAUGCCGUGGCCACCGGCCUUCCCCCAUCGCACCACCAUGUCCAGGAGCAACACCAUCAUCACCUUCAUCGCCUACGUCCACGGAUUGGAGCCGGGUCAUCAAGGAUUGAGCGCAUCGACCUCUUCUUCAUCAUCACCGACCACUGCUUCUCGGCGUCGAUCCGCGCUGCUCCGACCACCCCCGGCCUCGCCGUCUGCUCCCCCAGCUCCGCGAUGUUGGAGCACAGGAGCCAUACGCCACCGUCGACGACGACUCCUACUACACUGGAGGUGCCUACUACUACGUGCAGGCCGCUGAUGACGACCAGGAGUAGUUUAGGAGGAUCCCAGGCAGGAGGCAUGUGCCUCUUUCGAUCUGUAUCCCAGUUUGUGCUAGCCAUCUUAUGGCAACUUGUUUAACAUAUGUCUGUACUCAGAUAUUGUUGCUUCCGCUGACUCGUUUAUGUUCGAGCACUUGUAUUCGAGCCCUCGAGGCCCC
rnacentral:rRNA from 1 species